rnacentral:lncRNA from 1 species
AUAGAACCUACUGGGGAGGGACAGAGACCCAGAGACCCAGAGGGAGACACUGACACAGAGAGAGUGAUAGAGAGAGAGAGGCAAAGUCACAGAGACAGAAAGAGGAGGGGAGAGGGAUGGAGAGAGACAAAGUCACAGAGAUAGAUGGAGGGGGAAGAAGGGAGGAGGCAGAGAGAGAGAGGAGAAAAACAGAGAGACGGUUGACAGAUUAGGAGAGGUGCUUCUGGUGCUGCUGGUUGUGCUAGGAAAAGACAUGUUUCUCUUUGGACAGAUGUGCUGCCAGUGCUGGAAGUAGGCUGACUGUGUCUCUCUCCCUGCUCUGAGCCUGGCACCAGAUUUGGCAAAACCAGACAGAGCAAAAGCUGCUUCCAGCCCACAGCACCCAAGGCUGGUCUCCUCUUUCAUCGCAGGGCUGCUAUGUACAGUUGCACAGGCUGUGCCCUGCACCAAGCACCCAGAAGAGGAUACAAGAGCCUGCCUGUGCUCCUUGAAGUAUCCCUGAGCCCUGAUGAACACCUGUGUCUACGUGGAGAGAGGGGAGCCUCUGCUCACAUGAGCAAAGGCAACAGGGGGGGACUGCAGAGGCCUGUUCCCUCCCACAGUCUCUAUUUUGCAAUAAGGACAUCAACUGGGAGUGGCCCAGAAGCCCGAAGCUGAGAGGACAAAGCUCACUGGGGUAAGUUAACAUCACUCCAGAUCAGCCCCGGUGAAGUCAGCGAGAAUUGCCUACACCUGAAAAAAUGUGGCAAACUUAUUUGUAAAGUAACAGUCUGUGGAAACUCCCACAGGACAAAUGCAGAAAGGAAGGACCUAGAUCACUGGAUGGUCAACGUUGCCCCUUGCACAGCAGCAAAGGCCUAUACAAAUUUUUUGAGUAGCUUUAUCUAGUGGUUCAGCUACUGGGAAUAACUUGUAAAAUCCCCUGGAUAGUCAACAGCAUUGGGGCUUGCUUUGUAAACAGAGACCUGACCUACUUAAUUCUUCCCAGAGGUUGGAAAAAGAGGCUGGACUCACACAGACAUGAAACCUUGGCUUAAUUGGACACUAAUUACUCAUAAGAGAUCUGUUUACCCGAACUUCCCCUAGACCAAGCUCAGUAUAAAAUGAGAGGAUGCAUAAAGAAGCAAGAUAUUUAGAGGAAAAUGUCACAAAUACAUUUAUCAGUCCCAAAAGUCCUUUUUUUUCCCCAGAAGUGAUGUUGCUAAUUGCACAAAAAUAAACAAUACAGGGGUUGAUAAAUUCCACAUUUAAGGGCUGAGGAUAGUGUCCCUACAUUUCUAAGAAGCUGUAUAUUUGGAAAUGAAUACAAUUGAAAGUAAGGAUAAGUGGCAUUCUAAAGCCAAUUGGAUAACUUGAAUGAACAAGCAGAAUUUACCAUAUUUUGAUAUGUUUCUUUUUGAUUAAAGUAUCUGUAAAGGAAACAAAUUAUAGUAUUGCUAUAGAUUUUAUUACUGAACAAGAAAAAAAGGCUUGAUGUUGUGCAUUUCCUUUUGGCCUUUGGUCUUGGCUGAUAUUGGGCAUCCAAUGAGCUUCUUUGUCUUGAAUGAAGACUUAAGAGGGAGUGAAAAGUAGGAAGAGCAUCAAAACUUCUUUGCAGGAUGUAAUCAAACCACCUACUACUUAUUGUCUUACGAUCCAUUUAUUCAACAAAUGGAACAUCUCAAUUGCUUGAUGCUAUUACAGACACUAGGUAUAGUCUUAGAAAAACAAAUUGCUGUUUUUAUAUAGCUUGUGUUAUGGGUUGAUGUAGUACAGUCAAAAUUAUUUAAAUAAAGGAAGAUGUGAGGAAGACUUUGAACUUAGAAAUCUGGGUUCUCAUCCAAGCUUUGCUGCUAGCUUGUUGGGGGAACCUUGGGUGAUGAGUUGGUUGACUCCUUCCAGAUCUCAGCGUUCAUCCAUCAAGUGAGGGAACUUGACCAGAUAUUCAAUAAUGGCCCUUCCAGCCCCAUCUCUAUAUGAAAGGGAAACCACAGUAUGGGCCCAUGGGGAAGAUCAUGGACUUUGGAGUAAAACAUUUCUGGCUUGGUCAAUUAUUUAAUCUCUUGAUCCCGAUCAAUUCAUGUAACUACUCUGACCCUCAGUUUCCUUGCUGCAAAAUGAGAUACUAAUAUUUGCUCAAAUAAGAUAACAGGCAAAACAAUCAUGAGGGCUCCUGGCACACCACUGUGCAUGGCUUUUGCUCCCUUGGGGAGCUUAUAAAUGAAAAAAAGAUUUUACAAUGCAAAGACAGUAAGCAUUUUGUUAGUGAAGCAACAAAAUAAUUGGGCAAUUUCCUCUCAAUUGCACCAUCAACUGAUGCCCAACCUAGAAAGCAUUUGGCUAAGAAUGGAAAAGGAAUCUUUGCCCAGAUCCCUCAAUUUUGACCAUCAUGGCAUAUACAUGAAUUGGCAGACUAAAUUUAUGCUCCUUUUGAAAACUGUGUCCAUUCCAAGAAGUCAGGCUAUUUUCACCCAGCCUGGUCUAGGCAGUGGGACUCCCCAAGGCUACAAGCAGAGCCACAGUGCUCUGGGCUGGGCUGCCACACUGUCAUGCUGGGGCAAAGAUGGCAGCAGACAGCUCUCUUGGGUAACAGCAGGAAGCUCUUUUCACAAGAGUGAUCUCAUCUCUUAGGGGACUAUGGUAGAAACACAGGGCAAAAGCUAUAGGAAUGGUCCAACAUAAUAACUGUUUUUUUUUUUAAUUUUCAAAACAUGAUAAAUGAUUAAGAAUAUAAAACUGGAAUUUAGAACUUACAGAGAACUUGUAUGAAUAAAUUAAAAAGACAACCUAAUUUUAAAAUGGGCAGAAGUCUUGGGCAGGCACAUUACAAUAUAGCAGGGGUCACCAAAUUAAAGCCUCACCAGCAAAAUCCACCUCCCAUCCCAGCCUGUUUUUAUAAAUAAGCUGUGUUGGAACACAGCCAAUCCCAUUCAUUCACACAUUGCCCAUGGCUGCUUUUGCUUGACAACAGCAUAGUUGAGUAGUAGGGACAAGACCAUAUGACCUCCAAAGCCAGAGAUAUUAACUGUCAGGCCCUUUAUAGAGUGAUUCACGGAGACCCCCAUAAUAGAGGAAAAUACAAGUGGCCAAUAGCACAUAAGAAGAUGCCCAGUAUUACAGCCAAGAGGAAAAUGCAAAUUACACCCACAGUAAGAUACCAUUAUGCAUCCAUUAGAAAGGCUAAAAUUAAAAGGACUGACAACAACAAGUGUUGACAAUGGUGGGUAACAGCAAGAGCUCUCAUACACUGAUGGUUGAAGUGUAAAUUGGUUCAGUUUUGGAAAAGAGUUUGGAGGUGUCUACUACAGUUAAACAUACAUAUUUCCAUGCCCCAGAAACUCCUGGGCAUAUUCUCAAAAGAAACGAGGGCUGUGGCCACCAAGAGACAUGUGUGAGAAAGGUCCUAGCACCUUUAUAUAUCAUAGUCCCAAACAGAAAACAACACAUACCCAUCCACGUUAGGAUGAACUAAAUAAAUUGGGGCAUAUGCAUUCAAUGGAAUAGUACAUAGCAAUGAAAAAAUAAACUGUUGCCCCAUGCAAAGAUGUUUUACAGACAUAACGUUAAGCAGAAGAAAGCAGAUCUCAAGGAGCCCACAUUGUACAAUUCCGAUCUAUAUGAAGCUCAAUAACACAUGGUACUAGAAGUUGUAAUAGCAGUUACCUGUAGGACUGGAGGUUUGUAUUGAAAGAGAAGGAACAUCAGGAAGUCUGCUGGAGCCUGGAAAUGUCUGAGAUGUUGCUCUGGGAGGCAGUUGCAUGGCUGUAGACAUAUGUAAGACAUUAUUGGAUGGUAUACCUGAGAUUGGAGCACCUACAAUAGAAGGUACAGUGUUACAUCUCAGUG